UUUCCGUAGGUGAACCUGCGGAAGGAUCAUUAAUGAGUUAGGGUCUUCUAGGCCCGACCUCCCAACCCUUUGUUUACUGAACCAUUGUUGCCUCGGUGGGUCCGUCUUACGACCCCCGGGGGAUAGCCGCGAGUCGCCCCCUGGCCAGCGCCCACCGAUAGCCCAACCUUUAAAACCCUUUGUGAGUCGUGUCUUAUGUCUAAAUUUAUGAUUAAACAAUCAAAACAAGACUUUCAACAACGGAUCUCUUGGUUCUG
rnacentral:misc_RNA from 1 species